UACGGAGGGUGCAAGCGUUAUCCGGAUUCACUGGGUUUAAAGGGUGUGUAGGCGGAUUUUUAAGUCAGUGGUGAAAUCUCCAGGCUCAACCUGGAAACUGCCAUUGAUACUAUUAGUCUUGAAUUCUGUUGAGGUGGGCGGAAUACAUCAUGUAGCGGUGAAAUGCUUAGAUAUGAUGUAGAACACCGAUUGCGAAGGCAGCUCACUAAGC
rnacentral:rRNA from 1 species